GUGGGGAAUAUUGGACAAUGGGCGAAAGCCUGAUCCAGCCAUGCCGCGUGUGUGAAGAAGGUCUUCGGAUUGUAAAGCACUUUAAGUUGGGAGGAAGGGCAGUAAGAUAAUACCUUGCUGUUUUGACGUUACCGACAGAAUAAGCACCGGCUAACUUCGUGCCAGCAGCCGCGGUAAUACGAAGGGUGCAAGCGUUAAUCGGAAUUACUGGGCGUAAAGCGCGCGUAGGUGGUUUUGUAAGUUGGAGGUGAAAUCCCCGGGCUCAACCUGGGAACUGCCUACAAAACUGCAUGACUAGAGUACGGUAGAGGGUAGUGGAAUUUCCUGUGUAGCGGUGAAAUGCGUAGAUAUAGGAAGGAACACCAGUGGCGAAGGCGACUACCUGGACUGAUACUGACACUGAGGUGCGAAAGCGUGGGGAGCAAACAGGAUUAGAAACCCUGGUGUCC
rnacentral:rRNA from 1 species